rnacentral:rRNA from 1 species
CAUGGCUCAGAUUGAACGCUGGCGGCAUGCUUUACACAUGCAAGUCGAACGGCAGCGCGGGCUUCGGCCUGGCGGCGAGUGGCGAACGGGUGAGUAAUACAUCGGAACGUGCCCAGUAGUGGGGGAUAGCUCGGCGAAAGCCGGAUUAAUACCGCAUACGACCUGAGGGUGAAAGCGGGGGAUCUUCGGACCUCGCGCUAUUGGAGCGGCCGAUGGCAGAUUAGCUAGUUGGUGGGGUAAAGGCCUACCAAGGCGACGAUCUGUAGCUGGUCUGAGAGGACGACCAGCCACACUGGGACUGAGACACGGCCCAGACUCCUACGG